rnacentral:lncRNA from 1 species
UGGCACCAUGGCCCCCAAACUCAUCACCGUCCUGUGUCUGGGAUUCUGCCUGAACCAGAAGAUCUGCCCACAUGCGGGUGCUCAGGACAAGUUCUCCCUGUCAGCCUGGCCGAGCCCUGUGGUUCCCCUAGGAGGACGUGUGACUCUCUCCUGUCAUUCCCAUCUUCGAUUUGUCAUAUGGACAAUAUUCCAAACAACUGGGACCCGAAGCCAUGAGUUGCACACUGGCCUUUCCAACAACAUCACCAUCAGCCCUGUGACCCCAGAACACGCAGGGACCUACAGAUGUGUUGGAAUUUACAAGCACGCCUCAAAGUGGUCAGCUGAGAGCAACUCCCUGAAGAUCAUCGUCACAGGCUUGUUCACAAAACCCUCCAUCUCAGCGCACCCAAGCUCCCUGGUGCAUGCAGGAGCCAGGGUGAGCCUGCGCUGUCACUCAGAACUGGCCUUUGAUGAAUUUAUCUUAUACAAAGAGGGGCACAUACAGCAUUCCCAGCAGCUUGACCAGGGGAUGGAGGCUGGGAUCCAUUACGUCGAGGCUGUCUUUUCCAUGGGUCCUGUAACGCCUGCCCAUGCAGGAGCCUACAGAUGCUGUGGUUGUUUCAGUCACUCCCGCUAUGAGUGGUCGGCUCCCAGUGACCCCCUGGACAUUGUGAUCACAGGAAAAUACAAAAAGCCUUCUCUCUCCACCCAGGUGGACCCCAUGAUGAGGCUGGGAGAGAAGUUGACCCUCUUCUGCAGCUCUGAAAUCUCAUUUGACCAGUACCAUCUGUUCAGACACGGGGUUGCUCAUGGACAGUGGCUCAGUGGAGGGCAGAGACACAGGGAAGCAUUCCAGGCCAACUUUUCUGUGGGCCGUGCAACGCCAGUCCCUGGCGGGACCUAUAGAUGCUAUGGUUCCUUCAAUGACUCUCCCUAUAAGCCCCCAGUGACCCGCUGCAACUUUACACCACAGGAAACACUAAGAGUACUCCUCUGUCAUUCACAGAAUCCACCCCUGAAUCUGACACACCUCGCCCUCAAGGACAGUCCAGCAACCUGCAUAUGCUCACUGGACUCUCAGUAGCCAUCAUCUCCAUUGGCGUUUGCCUCUCUGCUUUUAUUGGUUUCUGGUGUUACAUAAAAUAUCACACCACCAUGGCAAACACAGAGCCCACGGAAGGCCAACGGACGGAUGAAGAGGAGCCUGCAGCAGAAGAGACACAGGAGAUCAUAUAUGCCCAGUUAAACCACCAGGCCCUCUCACAGACAGGAUUCCCUCCUGCCUCCCAGUGUCCCCACUACCUCUCGGAGGAUCCUAGUAUCUACAUCACUGUCCACCAAGCCCAGGCUGAGGCCAGAGCUGCCCCCAGUCUUUGGCACAAAGGGCAUUAAUACG